rnacentral:rRNA from 1 species
UACGUAGGGUGCGAGCGUUAAUCGGAAUUACUGGGCGUAAAGCGUGCGUAGGCGGUUCGUUAAGUUCGUUGUGAAAGCCCCGGGCUCAACCUGGGAACUGCAAUGGAAACUGGCGGGCUUGAGUGUGGCAGAGGGGGGUGGAAUUCCGCGUGUAGCAGUGAAAUGCGUAGAUAUCGAGAGGAACACCAGUGGCGAAGGCGAGUCCCUGGACAGAUCCUGACGCUGAGGCACGAAAGCUAGGGGAGCAAACAGG